rnacentral:rRNA from 1 species
CCUGGGAACUGCGUUNUGAACUGGGUGACUAGAGUGUGUCAGAGGGAGGUAGAAUCCCACGUGUAGCAGUGAAAUGCGUAGAGAUGUGGAGGAAUACCGAUGGCGAAGGCAGCCUCCUGGGAUAACACUGACGUUCAUGCCCGAAAGCGUGGGUAGCAAACAGGAUUAGAUACCCUGGUAGCNCACGCCCUAAACGAUGUCGAUUAGCUGUUGGGCAGCAUGACUGCUUAGUAGCGAAGCUAACGCGUGAAAUCGACCGCCUGGGGAGUACGGUCGCAAGAUUAAAACUCAAAGGAAUUGACGGGGACCCGCACAAGCGGUGGAUGAUGUGGAUUAAUUCGAUGCAACGCGAAGAACCUUACCUGGUCUUGACAUGUACGGAACCCUCCAGAGACGGAGGGGUGCCUUCGGGAGCCGUAACACAGGUGCUGCAUGGCUGUCGUCAGCUCGUGUCGUGAGAUGUUGGGUUAAGUCCCGCAACGAGCGCAACCCUUGUCAUUAGUUGCCAUCAUUAAGUUGGGCACUCUAAUGAGACUGCCGGUGACAAGCCGGAGGAAGGUGGGGAUGACGUCAAGUCCUCAUGGCCCUUAUGACCAGGGCUUCACACGUCAUACAAUGGUCGGUACAGAGGGUAGCCAAGCCGCGAGGUGGAGCCAAUCUCACAAAACCGAUCGUAGUCCGGAUUGCGCUCUGCAACUCGCGUGCAUGAAGUCGGAAUCGCUAGUAAUCGCAGGUCAGCAUACUGCGGUGAAUACGUUCCCGGGUCUUGUACACACCGCCCGUCACACCAUGGGAGUGGGGGAUACCAGAAGUAGGUAGGGUAACCGCAAGGAGCC